rnacentral:ncRNA from 1 species
UGCCCGGGACGACCCGGAGCCCAUGGGUAACACUCGGGGACGGCCCCA